GUUCUAGCGUACCUCGGCUAGCCGCUUCGGCAACCUGCCUAUACCUGCUUGUGUUCGUCGAGUUCGUAUUCGCGAGUGCACACGCUUGAAUUUCGGAUGCGUUUGUCUGGAUGGUCGCGUACAAUGUAAUGUCGAUUAGAUCCAUCAAUAUCGAAGAUAUCGAAUAGAAUCAUUUUCAAGAAUUUUGUUUAAUGAAAGUCAAUUUAUUAAUUACCGUUAUCAUCGUUCCUCUUAUUGUUGCCACAUUAUCAUAUUCAAUACAUUUUUAUGAGAGAUCGGUGCCAAUGAAAGUGACGUGAUUCGAACGAUAUCACGUUACUUUUGAAAUCGUGAUACGUGCUUAAAGCUUAGCGACUGUAUUUAUAGAGAGAGAGAGCAUCGACAAGCAUUCUCCUACGUAAUACCAGCGAUCGAUUCACAUUAAGUGCACGCUACCAAUCAUUCUCUCACGAACGAGAGAGAGAGAGGGAGAGACAGAGAGAGAGAGAGAGAGAGGGAGAGACAGAGAGAGAGUGAGAGAGAGAGAGAGAGAAAGAGAGAGUGCCUCCAAUCAAGAAAAUUUGCAUUAUUCCGUGGUAUAAGAGAAUAAACAAUCUUACGAAGCGUGAUGAAGCGUCCACGUGUUACGGAAUUUCUUAGAAAAAAUGAAAGAAAAAAAGAAAAAGAAAAGGGAAGAAACGUGUUCGGUCGUCAUACUUUCGUGGAGAAUGUGAACCAAGGCAAAGUUAGCGUGAUACUCCGUCGUUCGUGUUAAAUUUGAUUUGGAUUAGGUCAGGAUACUUCGCAUUUCUUUUUUCUUUCUUUCUCUCUCUCUCUCUCUCCCUCUCUCUUUCCCUCUUUCUUUUCUUGAAUAACGUUGCCAGUGAAAAAAAAAAAAAAAAAAAAAAAAAAAAAAAAAAAAGAAACGAAAGAAAAAAGAAAAAGGGAAAUUACGUAAUUGCGAAUGCGAGUGUCCUUUCUCGCUCAAAGGACACUCGAGAAACACGUUCAUCGAUGAAAUGAGUCCUUCAGAGGGGAUUCUUCGCGGAGGAGGGGAGGGAGUGACGGAGAGAGUGCGUUCACCUUGUCCUUAAAGAAGUCGCUGGGUCAGUGUAAACGGCCUGAAGCUGUGAAAAGGGAGCAAGAAAAUGGUAGGAAAGGUGAAAGAAGAUAAAGAGCAGACGAAGAGGAGAGAAAGAGAGAAAAAGAUGCGAAUAUACGUUGAUGGUGAAGGCAGAAAGGAGGUCAACGACGAGUGCUUUCGUAAGACUCGUCGUCACGUUGUCCCUUGAAAACUGGUCUCUCAUCGUCCGAGUUCGUUUCGUUGCAUUUCAUAGAAAGAAAGAAAGAAAGAAAGAAAGAAAGAAAGAGGGAAAGAGAGAAAGAGAGAAAAGAAGGACGAGGCUUUCUUGAACGAAGAAAAGGAGAAAAGAUAUGAUCAAAGACGAGACGAAGAGAAUAUCUUUUUCAAUAUAUUUAUAUAAAUGUAUAUAUUAUGUAUGUAUAUACAUACAUGUAUACAUAUGUAUAUGUAUAUAUAUAUAUAUAUAUAUAUAUAUGUAUAUGUCAUAGUUUAAAAUAUUAAAAAAAAAAAAACUACAAGGGAAUCGUCGUUUCGUCUCGACCAAUAUGAAAAGCUAUCUAUUCUAUUUCAAUAGUGCAUCGUGAUACAUAGUACAUUACAUUUUCCGGAGACUUUACUCCGUUGGUUAGAUUUGUUGGAAAGGAAGGAAGUUCAUGAAAGUUCGAUGACGUUUGCAGAUCCAUUGGUACAGCACGAUUGGCAAGUUGUUUCGACAUAAUCGAUUCGAUUCUCGUUCGUUUAUUGGAUUUAUCUUUAACGAUGCUAUCGUGAUUAUUUUUUUCUUCAGUACGAUCUUGCCAACAGACAAUAAAUUUCUCCACUAAGUUACCGUAUCCCUUGACCUUUUGUUUUUUCAUUUCUGAUCGAUUGUCCUCCAUUAUGGUCGAUCAUAUUAAAAAGCGACGAAUGUUCUUCAUUGUUAACAUUGAGAGUUCAUUGAAAAUAUUUUUUAAUCAAUGAACAAGAUUUUUCUUAAUAUCAAUAUUGUAUAACAACGAUGAGCUAAUCAUUGUUUAUAUAUAUAUAUAUAUAUAUAUGUAUAUAUGUAUAUGUAUGUAUUAUUCACUGUUGUCGUCUUGAUAAGUAACGUGUGUCGGAUGAGACAAGUUUUAUUGUGCGUCUGAUUUGUUGACGGUGAGAAGGUCGUAGUACCGCGUGUCAAGUUCACAGUCUUCUCUUCGCAAACUUUGGAAGAACUAGUUCCUCGAGAAACUCGGUGCUGUUCAGACGUUAGUCGAACAAAGCGUACCAAGUUCGUUAUCGAACUUCCGCGAAUUGCAUAUCGCGUGUUCCGGUACUUUCUUAUUAUAUCGUUGCUUUUUUAUCGUCUGUUUUAUAUUUUCUCUUUAUAUAUAUAUAUAUAUAUAUAUAUAUAUAUAUAUAUAUAUAAUAUAUGUGUAAUAAUGAUAAUUCUCUUAUAAUGUGAUUAUACAAGUAACGAUAUGCUUACGAUAUCUUUGUUUUCUUUUCAUCCAACAACUUCUCUUAAGUGUUUGUUUUCUAUUAUUACUCUCUAUAUCGACGACGUUAUAGUUUCAGUUUCUAACGAAAUGUUGGACGUACCGUUAGAAAGAGGAAAGAGAGUACUCGUAGGGCAGUACACGAAUGUUGCCACAGUAAACUGUGUUAUAUCCAACUCUCUACAGUGUAUUCGUGUUUUGUUGCCACGCAUGCGUAACAUUUCUAUCCUUAGAGAGUUUCGCAUACCAGAUAUAAUAAAAACAGGAUAACUACAUUAUAGUUAUAAAGACGAUGACGUCUUUUCUAAAUUCACAUUUUCGUUCGAUCAUUUUAUUAUUUUAAGAAUAUUAAUGAAGAUUCUAAUAAGAGAGAUUUUUUAUAUCGAUUUUUACGAUUGAAUUAAAAUUUAUGAUCCCGUUUCGUAUCCGAAUUAUCAUAGAUCGAUAAAAGAUACUUUUCGAUGGAGCAUAAGAGAGAAUACAACGGGUGGUGGAGAAAUUCAAGGUCAGCAUAUCGACGUUCCACGGAUCGAAGCACCUAGAAAUUCUGACUCCAUCGAGCGAAAGGUUCAAGGUCUCUCGAGAAUAUCGUCUCAGUUGUGCAAGACGAUUGCUUACUCGUUCAAACAGACCUUUCCCUAAUCACCCGUGAUAAGUAAUAACCAAUAAGUACAAUUCUCUGUAACGAGUUUCCUGCUUCACAAUGGAGAAUUAGGUCAAUGAAUUAAAUAAUUCUCGAGUAUACUUUUCACCACGAUUGUUUUAUAUUAAAUAGAAAAUAAUAGUAUUAUAUAGAAUAUUCGUGGACAAAGGUGCGCCGAAGAAGAGAAGAACGAUUGUUAACUGCCUACGCUUGACCUUCCUCAGUCGUUCGUUCUGGGACAAGAGAGAGAGAAAAGAAGAGAAAAAAGAAAGACAUUAAAGUAACAUAAUUACGUCAUGAUACUUUUUCGAGAAGGCGUAAUUACGUUCUUAAUAUACAUAUACAUACAUAAGUUAGCAUUUAUUUAUUAUUAAGUACGCGUUUAAGAAAUGAUCGACUACGUGCGAAACGAAAGGUUAAAAAUAUUUCCUUUGAACUUUUGUCCUUUAUCGUUAUCGCGGAAACAAAUAAUAUUCUAGAAUUACUCGAAGAUGAAAAAGAAAAAGAAUAUAUUAUAGAAGACGAUUGUAAUCAUACUCAUUCAAUGUUAUCUUUUUCUGUUCUAUCUAGUCUACCGAGUUUAACUUGUCAUUUAACUGACACUCGCUUUUAUUAUUUAAUGGAAGAACAGGUAUAUUGGACAUGGCGGGAGGUGAACUCGUUCACGUUUUUAUGCGGUUUUAUGGACGUGAAUGCCGUCACGAUGUCAUGCGAGAAGAAGGUGCGAGCUUGCGGUCCCAGUUCUGCGUCUUCUAGUUCUGAUACGGAUAAAUCUGUAAAUUACUUAUCGACACUCUCGAUAACGGUCAUCCUUGGGUGAUAUAAAUUAUUUAUAAGAAGAUUCGCGUUGCAAGACGCUCUGGCAAUUUGUAAUUGUAAUUUAUUUUGCCUAUGUGGAGAGUGUUACACGUACUUACUUGUUAGACAAGCGGACGGCCAACUAACGCAAUUAUAUACCGGAUUCGUUCUACGAACGUGUGUACCUACGUUCACGAGCUCGAGAGAAUCUAGCGCUGCCUUAUCCGUGAUAAAACGUUUAUAUGUACAUAGAACACGUUGACUUGUUUCGUAUAUUUCAAAGUAUUAUACCUAUAUUAAAACUUUACAAUUCUCACGAGAAUAAUAGAUACGAUAUUUUAUUUAAAAAUAUCGAUUAUCGUGGAAUUUCAUCUAAUAGAAGAGAAGAGAUGAGAAGAGAAGAGAAGAGAAAAAAAAAUACUCGUUUGAGUUUUGGACAAGCGUGGGUGCUUCGAAAGUACACCGAUACGUAUACCACCCACAUGCCUAUCGUCAUUAUCCUCGACGUCCAAAUAUUUUCUACAUUCUUUCCAUCGAAUUGUCUAAUAAGUUUCUAUAGCACGCCACUCAUCCCACCUCUCUCAUUUUUAAUGAGAGAAAUUUAUUACGAAAGAAUACCAAUUUUCUCUCGGUAUAUACGCUAUUUCGUUUAUCUUUUAUUUCUGCAGCUCUCUUUUCUUUUUUUUUCUGCGCCUUCCCUCGCAAAAUUUUUGCUUCAAAUAUCAUAGCUAAAAAAAAAAAAAAAAAAAAAAGAAAAAAGAGAAAAAAAGAGAAAAAGAAAAACAAAUGCUCGAUGAGUUUUCACGGAUAAAAUUAAGAUAUUUUAAGAUGAACGACCGAAAGAUUUUUUUUUCCUUUUCGACAAUUGAGAUUGUUUUCUUUUUUAUUUUGUUUCUUUUGUUUUUAAUUCUUUUUUCGAAGACGAAGAAAAUAAAAUAAUUCAACGAAGUCGUUCGCAGAACGAGGACGAGGCUUCGUCGGACGGCGACUGAAAAGACGGAGGAAAUGACGUCACAUUAUUAUGGUUACGGAUCUCCGUGGUCGGUUGCGGUUGACAAACCAAGCGUCUAUGAUUCCGUUCUCCUCCGAUCCCUUUUGCCAUCCUUUUUCUUCUCUAUAUUUUACCUUCUGCCUCUUCCUUUCUUCGAGGAUUGCUCUUUUGUUAGGACUUUGUUAUAUGAGAGUCCAAAGUAGCCUUUGCUUUCCAUCCGAGCAACCGACAUUCGAAACCAGAGAGCGACCACUCGAGUUGAAGAAAACAAGACGAUAUUUCGGUACUCUUUUCUAUUCGUGCGACGUUAACGUUUCGUUCGUUUUGCUUGAAGAUAGAAGAAUAUAAGAUAGAUAGAUAAAAAGAUGGAGAGAGAGAGAGAGAGAGAGAGAGAG